ACCUCAGUGGCUCAGUGGUUUGAGCACCUGACUUUGGCUCAGGUCAUGAUCCUGGGGUC
rnacentral:tRNA from 1 species